UGGGGAAUUUUGGACAAUGGGGGAAACCCUGAUCCAGCCAUCCCGCGUGUGCGAUGAAGGCCUUCGGGUUGUAAAGCACUUUUGUCAGGAAAGAAACGUCAUGGGUUAAUACCCCGUGAAACUGACGGUACCUGCAGAAUAAGCACCGGCUAACUACGUGCCAGCAGCCGCGGUAAUACGUAGGGUGCAAGCGUUAAUCGGAAUUACUGGGCGUAAAGCGUGCGCAGGCGGUUCGGAAAGAAAGAUGUGAAAUCCCAGAGCUCAACUUUGGAACUGCAUUUUUAACUACCGGGCUAGAGUGUGUCAGAGGGAGGUGGAAUUCCGCUUGUAGCAGUGAAAUGCGUAGAUAUGCGGAGGAACACCGAUGGCGAAGGCAGCCUCCUGGGAUAACACUGACGCUCAUGCACGAAGGCGUGGGGAGCAAACAGG
rnacentral:rRNA from 1 species